rnacentral:tRNA from 1 species
GCGCCUAUAGCUCAACAGGAUAGAGCAGUUGCCUCCUAAGCGAUCGAUCGGGGUUCGAGUCCCUGUAGGCGCACCA